rnacentral:rRNA from 1 species
GACGAACGCUGGCGGCGUGCUUAACACAUGCAAGUCGAGCGGAAAGGCCCUGCUUUUGUGGGGUGCUCGAUUGGCGAACGGGUGAGUAACACGUGAGUAACCUGCCCUUGUCUUUGGGAUAACUUCAGGAAACUGGGGCUAAUACCGGAUAGGAUCUCCUGCUGCAUGGUGGUGGUUGGAAAGUUUCGGCUGUUGGGGAUGGACUCGCGGCUUAUCAGCUUGUUGGUGGGGUAGUGGCUUACCAAGCCUUUGACGGGUAGCCGGCCUGGGAGGGUAGCCGGGCACAAUAGGACUGAGAGACGGACCAGACUCCUACGGGAGGCAGCAGUGGGAAAUAUUGCACAAUGGGGGGAAGCGUGAUGCAGAAACGCCGCGUGCGGGAUGACGGCCUUCGGGUUGUAAACCGCUUUCGCCUGAGACGAAGCGUGAGUGACGGUAAUGGGUAAAGAAGCACCGGCUAACUACGUG